UGUUGCCUCGGCGGAUCA
rnacentral:rRNA from 1 species